CCCUUAGAUGUUCUGGGCCGCACGCGCGCUACACUGAUGCAUUCAACGAGUCUAAAACCUGGUCUGAUAGGGCUGGGUAAUCUUUUGAAAGUGCAUCGUGAUUGGGAUAGAUGAUUGCAAUUCUUCAUCUUCAACGAGGAAUGCCUAGUAAACGCAAGUCAUCAGCUUGCAUUGAUUACGUCCCUGCCCUUUGUACACACCGCCCGUCGCUCCUACCGAUUGAAUGGUCCGGUGAAGCGUUCGGACCGUGGCCUUUGGACGGUUCGCCGUCUGUUGGCUGCGGGAAGUUCGUUAAACCUUAUCAUUUAGAGGAAGGAGAAGUCGUANCA
rnacentral:rRNA from 1 species